rnacentral:tRNA from 1 species
UGUCCAAUGCGGGAAUCGAACCCGGGUCCUAGUGGUCGAAAACCAAACGGUUUAACCAGCCUUCCACCGAAAUUGAAA